AGCUAUAAACUGGAUAAAAGUGGGCCCCAAAAGUAUCCAUGAGGGGCCCCGAUAGAGCAGUUAGAGGAUGUUGACAGUUUGCCAUUGAUUUUGGUGCAUUGUUUUCUUUUGGUCAGGUUGCCUACCCCCCAGCCAGGUGAGGAGAUGGGACCGCCGGUCAUGGCGCCGACAGCUAGACAGCAGUGCCUCGGACUCCCCAGCAUCUGAUGGCAGUGUCAUGCUCAGCCCACUCUAUACCCACUCCCCCUUCCUCUCUCCCACAGCUACCAGCACUCCUCCCCACCCUGCUCUUCUUUCUAACACAUCUCCCAACAUCCCAAUAUUUUCCCCUUCCUUCUCUCUCAGUACGCCUUCUAGUUGUCCUAGCACGCCACUCUACCCCCACUCUUUCACCUCCAGUGCCCCUGGCACCCCAUUACGAAGUCAGGUGACAUCUUCCAGUGCCCCUGGCACCCCAUUACGAAGUCAGGUGAUAUCUUCCAGUGCCACUGGCACCCCAUUACGAAGUCAGGUGACAUCUUCCAGUGUUUCUGGCACCCCAGUACAAAGUCAGGUGGCAUCUUCCAGUGCCCCAAGCACCCCAGUACGCACCACGUUAUUCACCUCCAGUGCCCCUUGCACCCCACAACAUGGAACCCUUCACAGGGAGUCAUCGUUCCACACCAGGAGUAACAUCUCAGGAAGUAGGACUACAUGUUGUGGGCUGGAGAGCUGUCCACCAAUAGCUAAAGGGACAGUAACCAGUUACAACCCUGAAGACUCAGUAAACAGCCCUAAAGCUAGAUGCCAAGCGGACAACACUCCAUACCCAGACAUGUUCAAUAUUAAAGGAGAUACAGCGAAGAAAGAUGAUUCUGAGAUGAGAAGGAGCAGUGAAAUGAAGAAGACUUCAACACCAAAGGAAACGACUGAGAAAUGUUCUCCUGCCAGAGUUAAGACUUCCAUAUCAUCACAUGCCAGUCCCACUCUGAAAGAAUCUAAGAUUCCACAAGCUGACCCACGACUAGGAAAACCAAUGAAAUCAUCGGCCUCACCUGAUGUUUCUUCAACUGAGCUAGACCGUGGGACCCCCAUCCCAGGCAGUAAGCUAACACUCACCUCCAUCUUUUCCUACCCUUAUGAUGUACCACAGCUCAAAAGCAGUCCACUUAAAAGCCCCGAGAAGCCAUCUCCUCAAUCAACUACAGCACAUCAGAAGCACAAGUCUCAAGAUAAGACAAGUCCUAAGAAAAGUCCUAAAGCCAAGACCUCUGAUUCACCUAAAUUAACACCUUCACCUUCUUUGUCAGACAAGCAAACAGACAAAACUGAGGGUAAUUUCAAGAAACCAUCAAAACCUCAGAGUGUUGUUAGUAGUAAGGCAGACUCUUUAGUGUCACAACAUGUUCUAUCCACAAAAACUACAAAAAAAAGUGCUGUAGGGAGCCGGCCAACCAUCAAGACUUCUCCUUGUGACCCUAGUCUUAAAACUAAAGCUUUUGCAAACAAUGAUUGUGUGCCAAAACCAAAGGAGGAGAGUGGGAGGAAAGAGAGACCUCCCCUUCCUAGCCUUAGAAGAUUGAAGCAGGUAUUUACAGGCCUUUAUCAGCAGAGGCCUGUGGUGGCUAAACCCUCCAGCGAAUUGAAUGGGGUGCCGACUGACACACAUAGGCUGUUUAAGACCCCUUCAUCCAAGACCUCCUCCCCUAAGACCCGUUCCACCAAGACUCCCUCAUCCAAGACCACCUCCCCCAAGACACAUUCACUCAAAACCCCCUCUCCCAAGACCCGCUCCCCCAAGAAGCCUCAGACUAGAGUUCUUCACAGAUUCACCCAGGAUCCGAGGGUCCGAGAUCCGAUCCAGGAUCAGAGCCCAUCUAUGCAGCCCACCUCCAGCACCUCCAGCAACAACCCAGAAGGGAGACCUGCAGCCUCAACCUCAAUUCUGGGCAGGAGUUUAGAGCUAAAAAUUAGUCAAGGUUUCCAGAAACCAGACACACCCAGGCCAAAGAGCUAUUCCCCCAAGAGCAAAUCAACAGGGAUUUCACCGAACUAUAGGGGUACUGGUACUCCUUUCCGUGGAAGUGAGGGGAAUCUAACAACUACCCCCACUUCUAGGUGCCUGGCAAUCCCCCAUGACUGUCCAUCUCAGACCAGGAGUUCUCUGAGUAAAGCCUCAUAUUCUGCCAAACUACCAUGGGAGGGAAAGAGGGACAGAGAGAGAGAGAGGGACAGGGAGAGAGAGAGGGACAGGGAGAGAGAGAGGGACAGGGAGAGAGAGAGGGACAGGAAGAGAUGGGAGAGAGAGAGGGAGAGAUGGGAGAGGGAAAGGUGUCCACCCUCACCGAGACACCCUCACCCAGCACGGGGCCCAAUUCCACAGCCAAGCCGGGAGGAUCAUCCUAAAGAAUGCUUUAGAAAGAAAGACAAAACUACUACAGGACAGGAGGACUUUAGAACCAAAGUCAAAAUACCAUGGGCACCAACUCAAAAACCCUCUACCAGUCACAAGAGUUGGCCAAAUGUACCCUCACCCUGCCAGAAUCCUCCACCUGCGAGAAAUGGCCCCCAGUCAUACUCCAAAAAUAUCAAAGGCACGCACUCAGCCUCAGCUCAGACUAAAUGUAAGUUAAUAUGGAUUCAGUACGUGAAAGAGUAUACUUUUGUUGCUAUGUAAUAGUAGUCAUUCUACAAAACCUGGUGUGUGAUGGGUGGAGACAUGGGUAGAAGUGAGUGUGUAUGUGUUCAUUUUGAAUAGCUGCUUAUCUAUCUUUCUGUUCUCUGUUCUCUCCAUACUGUAGCUAAAGUACCAGGGACAGACUCUCAGGACAUCAGAUCCCCCCCUACAACACAGAAGGUCCCUCAGGAAUCAGUGUCCUCUUCCCUGUCCCCCCGCUCCAGACCCGGCCCCAGCAGUCCGGAGCUUAUCCAUGCCAUUGUGAGUGCCAUGGGCUAUCUGCUUGGUGUGCCACCCACCUCCAUCCCUGGCCUCUGCCCUUCACCUGAAGACCCUGGUACAUCCUCCACCACUGACCCAUCAGCUUUUAGCUCAGACCCCAGCCAGCCCCCCUGGACUGAAGAACUACGACUCAUCCGGCAAAGACUCAGUGAGCCUGGCCUAGGGCUCAACCCCCUGCCUCCCGACCACACCCAACCAGCCUCCAGACCAAAGGACACACACACAGGACAGAGGGAAGAGAGGCCUGCACAAUCAAUGGCACCAUCACUGAGAAAGAAUACAAAGAUGUGAUAGGAGUUGGGAUGAAGAUGAGGAUACUGUAGCAUGCUACACUGCAGAGCUGCAAGGAGUCAGAGAGCAGCUGUUCAGACAGGACUUGGCUGACUGACUGGUAGAAACAGAAGAUGUUCACGUUAACAGGCUGAACAUCUGCUCGUACACCUGGGUUGUGUUUCUAACUCUUUCUCUGGAUAGAAUUAUCUCAAAUACUUUAUGUACAUAUUCAUUUGCUGUAAGUACUGGCAGUUUAGCUCUUUGAAUUGAGGAUUUCAAUGCUUGUGAUACUGGUUUAAUUUUAGAUGGAUUUGAUCUUGCUUUCAUUUUGACAAGCAGUUAGCUGAAAAAUACAGGACGCUGGGCAUGCUGAAGGUUGCACAUGUGACCACAGGAGGGCAGUCUCAUGCCAACCUAAUGCAAAUCCUAGUCAUAAUGAAGGGAGAAAUUAAAUAUAAUGUACAGAUUAUCAA